CGGCGUGUAGUCCAGGGGUCCAGGACGCCUGUUUCGGAUACAGGAGGGCGCAGGUUCGAAUCCUGCCACGCCGA
rnacentral:tRNA from 1 species